UGGUCUAGUAUAGCAUUGUACUGCGAAACUGCGAAUGGCUCAUUAAAUCAGUUAUCGUUUAUUUGAUAGUGCCUAUCCUACUUGGAUAACCGUGGUAAUUCUAGAGCUAAUACAUGCUAAAAAUCCCGACUUCGGAAGGGAUGCAUUUAUUGGAUACAGAACCAACGCCCUUCGGGGCUUUCUGGUGAAUCACAAUAACUUCGCGGAUCGCACGGCCUUGUGCCGGCGAUGGUUCAUUCAAAUUUCUGCCCUAUCAACUUUCGACGGCUGGGUCUUGGCCAGCCGUGGUGACAACGGGUAACGGAGGGUUAGGGCUCGACCCCGGAGAAGGAGCCUGAGAGACGGCUACUACAUCCAAGGAAGGCAGCAGGCGCGCAAAUUACCCAAUCCCGACUCGGGGAGGUAGUGACAAUAAAUACUGAUCCAGGGCUCUUUUGGGUCUUGGAAUUGGAAUGAGUACAAUUUAAAUCCCUUAACGAGGAACAAUUGGAGGGCAAGUCUGGUGCCAGCAGCCGCGGUAAUUCCAGCUCCAAUAGCGUAUAUUAAAGUUGUUGAGGUUAAAAAGCUCGUAGUUGAACCUUGGCCCCGGCUAGCUGGUCCGCCUCACCGCGAGUACUGGUUCGGCCGGGGCUUUCCCUCUGGGGA
rnacentral:rRNA from 1 species